rnacentral:other from 1 species
UGUCCCCUGCGGUGUUGGUUAAGACCUAUAUUCCUUGAACCAAUGCUUGCUUGGCAUCGGCUGCGGACAUGACGUCGAUGUUGUGAACAACUCUCGUGGUUGUUCCUGAUUUGACUGGAACGCGGCCACUCUGAACUUCGGUUCAGGAUGCCGGUCUGACGGCACUCGCGGGGGCCAA